rnacentral:rRNA from 1 species
UACGUAGGUGGCAAGCGUUAUCCGGAUUUACUGGGUGUAAAGGGCGUGUAGGCGGGAUGGUAAGUCAGAUGUGAAAACUAUGGGCUCAACCCAUAGCCUGCAUUUGAAACUAUCGUUCUUGAGUGUUGGAGAGGCAGGCGGAAUUCCGUGUGUAGAGGUGAAAUGCGUAGAUAUCACACAGAACACCGAUUGCGAAGGCAUCUCACGAAUCCGCGAUUGACGCUGAUGCACGAAAGCGUGGGUAUCAAACAGG